ACUUGUGGCAAGCAAUCUGGAAAAUGAAUGUUCUUGCAAAAGUAAAAAAUUUUGUGUGGCGAGCAUGUCGAGACUCUCUCCCAACGAAGACAAAUCUGGUUAAGCAAAGGGUCGUUGACGACGCUACUUGUGACUGCUGUAAGGUCCAACAGGAGGAUGUGGUCCAUGCCUUAUACUCUUGCCCAAAGCUACUGGAUUUAUGGAACCAAUGCUCACAGUGGAAACCUAGCAGGCUGCAGCAAAGUCUUGAGUUUCUUCGACAUCAUAAAGUGAUAAACAAAUUACAUUGACUUGUGUAAUUUGUUUAUCACUUUAUUUAUGGUGUUUUAUGAACAAUAAGUGCUAAAGAGGGGACAAUAGCCAUUAUCGUUAAUGGACUUGAUACUAGGUAGAGAAGUCAAGGAAGCAGAUGAAGGAAAGGAAGAACAGGGCCAAGAAGAUCCGUGGAGUAAAGAAGACAAAGUCUUCAGAUGCUGCCAAGGCGAAGAAGAAAUGAGUUUUUCGUGAUUCUUAUAGACCUGAUUUGCAGCAAUGGACUUUAUUUAAUAGCUCUAUUUUCUUGUUAGGUUUUCUCAAAAUGAAAUCUUUUGUUGUUAGCAUCGGUUUUGGUGUUUUCUGAUGUUUUGUUAUACUAUCAGAUUUUGAGUAUUAUGCAGAGGAUGAUUUUGAAAUUUUUGGCAACA